UUCGCCCUUAGAGUUUGAUCCUGGCUCAGGACGAACGCUGGCGGCGCGCCUAACACAUGCAAGUCGAACGAGCGAGAGGGAGCUUGCUUUCUCAAGCGAGUGGCGAACGGGUGAGUAACGCGUGAGGAACCUGCCUCAAAGAGGGGGACAACAGUUGGAAACGACUGCUAAUACCGCAUAAGCCCACGACCCGGCAUCGGGUAGAGGGAAAAGGAGCAAUCCGCUUUGAGAUGGCCUCGCGUCCGAUUAGCUAGUUGGUGAGGUAAUGGCCCACCAAGGCGACGAUCGGUAGCCGGACUGAGAGGUUGAACGGUCACAUUGGGACUGAGACACGGCCCAGACUCCUACGGGAGGCAGCAGUGGGGAAUAUUGCACAAUGGGGGAAACCCUGAUGCAGCGACGCCGCGUGGAGGAAGAAGGUCUUCGGAUUGUAAACUCCUGUUGUUGAGGAAGAUAAUGACGGUACUCAACAAGGAAGUGACGGCUAACUACGUGCCAGCAGCCGCGGUAAAACGUAGGUCACAAGCGUUGUCCGGAAUUACUGGGUGUAAAGGGAGCGCAGGCGGGAAGACAAGUUGGAAGUGAAAUCCAUGGGCUCAACCCAUGAACUGCUUUCAAAACUGUUUUUCUUGAGUAGUGCAGAGGUAGGCGGAAUUCCCGGUGUAGCGGUGGAAUGCGUAGAUAUCGGGAGGAACACCAGUGGCGAAGGCGGCCUACUGGGCACCAACUGACGCUGAGGCUCGAAAGUGUGGGUAGCAAACAGGAUUUAGAUACCCUGGUAGUCCACACUGUAAACGAUGAUCACUAGGUGUUGGAGGAUUGACCCCUUCAGUGCCGCAGUUAACACAAUAAGUAAUCCACCUGGGGAGUACGACCGCAAGGUUGAAACUCAAAGGAAUUGACGGGGGCCCGCACAAGCAGUGGAGUAUGUGGUUUAAUUCGACGCAACGCGAAGAACCUUACCAAGUCUUGACAUCCUGCGACGGACAUAGAAAUAUGUUUUUCCUUCGGGACGCAGAGACAGGUGGUGCAUGGUUGUCGUCAGCUCGUGUCGUGAGAUGUUGGGUUAAGUCCCGCAACGAGCGCAACCCUUAUGGUCAGUUACUACGCAAGAGGACUCUGGCCAGACUGCCGUUGGCAAAACGGAGGAAGGUGGGGAUGACGUCAAAUCAUCAUGCCCUUUAUGACUUGGGCUACACACGUACUACAAUGGCGUUAAACAAAGAGAAGCAAGACCGCGAGGUGGAGCAAAACUCAGAAACAACGUCCCAGUUCGGACUGCAGGCUGCAACUCGCCUGCACGAAGUCGGAAUUGCUAGUAAUCGCAGAUCAGCAUGCUGCGGUGAAUACGUUCCCGGGCCUUGUACACACCGCCCGUCA
rnacentral:rRNA from 1 species